UAACACGUGGGUGACCUGCCCUUAGCUCUGGGAUAAGCCUGGGAAACUGGGUCUAAUACCGGAUAUGACCUCGCGAUGCAUGUCGUGGGGUGGAAAGCCUUGUGCGGCUAGGGAUGGGCCCGCGGCCUAUCAGCUUGUUGGUGGGGUGAUGGCCUACCAAGGCGACGACUGGUAGCCGGCCUGAGAGGGCGACCGGCCACACUGGGACUGAGACACGGCCCAG
rnacentral:rRNA from 1 species